UACGAAGGGGGCUAGCGUUGCUCGGAAUCACUGGGCGUAAAGCGCACGUAGGCGGACUCUUAAGUCGGUGGUGAAAUCCUGGAGCUCAACUCCAGAACUGCCUUCGAUACUGAGAGUCUCGAGUCCGAGAGAGGUGAGUGGAACUGCGAGUGUAGAGGUGAAAUUCGUAGAUAUUCGCAAGAACACCAGUGGCGAAGGCGGCUCACUGGCUCGGUACUGACGCUGAGGUGCGAAAGCGUAGGGAGCAAACGAGGA
rnacentral:rRNA from 1 species